rnacentral:lncRNA from 1 species
GAUGCUGACAUGGCAAUCCAGUUUGCAAAUCCAUUUUGUUGUGAGCUUAGCGCAUUUCUUUUGUCUAGCCAAAUUUUCAACGAUGUUACAUUUGUGUUUUGAGCCGUACUGUUUCUCGGCCCUAAAAUAUUUCUUCCUAAUCUUUACGGCCCAUUAUUUUACAGGCCAAACAACUAUGGCCCAGUUCCAUACUAACCAUAAUAUAAUGCACCAGAAUUACAAUAUAAUAAAGUCACACAAUUCAAUAAUAUUUCUUAAAUUAAUAAACUCUCCAAUACAUUCACACCAC